rnacentral:rRNA from 1 species
UACGAAGGGGGCUAGCGUUGUUCGGAAUCACUGGGCGUAAAGCGCACGUAGGCGGAUCUUUAAGUCAGGGGUGAAAUCCCGGGGCUCAACCUCGGAACUGCCUUUGAUACUGGGGAUCUCGAGUCCGGGAGAGGUGAGUGGAACUCCGAGUGUAGAGGUGAAAUUCGUAGAUAUUCGGAAGAACACCAGUGGCGAAGGCGGCUCACUGGCCCGGUACUGACGCUGAGGUGCGAAAGCGUGGGGAGCAAACAGG